rnacentral:rRNA from 1 species
GAUGAACGCUGGCGGCGUGCCUAAUACAUGCAAGUCGAGCGAACGGACGAGAAGCUUGCUUCUCUGAUGUUAGCGGCGGACGGGUGAGUAACACGUGGAUAACCUACCUAUAAGACUGGGAUAACUUCGGGAAACCGGAGCUAAUACCGGAUAAUAUUUUGAACCGCAUGGUUCAAAAGUGAAAGACGGUCUUGCUGUCACUUAUAGAUGGAUCCGCGCUGCAUUAGCUAGUUGGUAAGGUAACGGCUUACCAAGGCAACGAUGCAUAGCCGACCUGAGAGGGUGAUCGGCCACACUGGAACUGAGACACGGUCCAGACUCCUACGGGAGGCAGCAGUAGGGAACCUUCCGCAAUGGGCGAAAGCCUGACGGAGCAACGCCGCGUGAGUGAUGAAGGUCUUCGGAUCGUAAAACUCUGUUAUUAGGGAAGAACAUAUGUGUAAGUAACUGUGCACAUCUUGACGGUACCUAAUCAGAAAGCCACGGCUAACUACGUGCCAGCAGCCGCGGUAAUACGUAGGUGGCAAGCGUUAUCCGGAAUUAUUGGGCGUAAAGCGCGCGUAGGCGGUUUUUUAAGUCUGAUGUGAAAGCCCACGGCUCAACCGUGGAGGGUCAUUGGAAACUGGAAAACUUGAGUGCAGAAGAGGAAAGUGGAAUCCCAUGUGUAGCGGUGAAAUGCGCAGAGAUAUGGAGGAACACCAGUGGCGAAGGCGACUUUCUGGUCUGUAACUGACGCUGAUGUGCGAAAGCGUGGGGAUCAAACAGGAUUAGAUACCCUGGUAGUCCACGCCGUAAACGAUGAGUGCUAAGUGUUAGGGGGUUUCCGCCCCUUAGUGCUGCAGCUAACGCAUUAAGCACUCCGCCUGGGGAGUACGACCGCAAGGUUGAAACUCAAAGGAAUUGACGGGGACCCGCACAAGCGGUGGAGCAUGUGGUUUAAUUCGAAGCAACGCGAAGAACCUUACCAAAUCUUGACAUCCUUUGACAACUCUAGAGAUAGAGCUUUCCCCUUCGGGGGACAAAGUGACAGGUGGUGCAUGGUUGUCGUCAGCUCGUGUCGUGAGAUGUUGGGUUAAGUCCCGCAACGAGCGCAACCCUUAAGCUUAGUUGCCAUCAUUAAGUUGGGCACUCUAAGUUGACUGCCGGUGACAAACCGGAGGAAGGUGGGGAUGACGUCAAAUCAUCAUGCCCCUUAUGAUUUGGGCUACACACGUGCUACAAUGGACAAUACAAAGGGCAGCGAAACCGCGAGGUCAAGCAAAUCCCAUAAAGUUGUUCUCAGUUCGGAUUGUAGUCUGCAACUCGACUACAUGAAGCUGGAAUCGCUAGUAAUCGUAGAUCAGCAUGCUACGGUGAAUACGUUCCCGGGUCU